GCCGAAGUGGUGGAAUUGGUAGACGCGCUGGUUUCAGGGACCAGUGGGCGCAAGCCCGUGGGAGUUCGAGUCUCCCCUUCGGCA
rnacentral:tRNA from 1 species